AUUGAACGCUGGCGGCAGGCCUAACACAUGCCAGUCGAGCGGAUGAAGGGAGCUUGCUCCUGGAUUCAGCGGCGGACGGGUGAGUAAUGCCUAGGAAUCUGCCUGGUAGUGGGGGAUAACGUCCGGAAACGGGCGCUAAUACCGCAUACGUCCUGAGGGAGAAAGUGGGGGAUCUUCGGACCUCACGCUAUCAGAUGAGCCUAGGUCGGAUUAGCUAGUUGGUGGGGUAAAGGCCUACCAAGGCGACGAUCCAUAACUGGUCUGAGAGGAUGAUCAGUCACACUGGAACUGAGACACGGUCCAGACUCCUACGGGAGGCAGCAGUGGGGAAUAUUGGACAAUGGGCGAAAGCCUGAUCCAGCCAUGCCGCGUGUGUGAAGAAGGUCUUCGGAUUGUAAAGCACUUUAAGUUGGGAGGAAGGGCAGUAAGUUAAUACCUUGCUGUUUUGACGUUACCAACAGAAUAAGCACCGGCUAACUUCGUG
rnacentral:rRNA from 1 species